AGAGUUUGAUCCUGGCUCAGAAUGAACGCUAGCUACAGGCUUAACACAUGCAAGUCGUGGGGCAGCAUCGGAGAAGCUUCGGCUUAUCCGGAUGGCGACCGGCGAAUGGGUGAGUAACACGUAUCCAACCUGCCGCCCAGUGAGGAAUAGGCUCCCGAAAGGGAAAUUAAUGCCUCAUGAGGUGUGUUUCUGACAUCAGAGACAUACGAAAGCCGCGAGGCGCUGGGUGAUGGGGAUGCGUCCGAUUAGCUUGUUGGCGGGGUAACGGCCCACCAAGGCGACGAUCGGUAGGGGUUCUGAGAGGAAGGUCCCCCACAUUGGAACUGAGACACGGUCCAAACUCCUACGGGAGGCAGCAGUGAGGAAUAUUGGUCAAUGGCCGCGAGGCUGAACCAGCCAAGUAGCGUGCAGGAAGACGGCCCUAUGGGUUGUAAACUGCUUUUGCAGGGGAAUAAAGUAUGCCACGUGUGGUGUUUUGCAUGUACCCUGCGAAUAAGGAUCGGCUAAUUCCGUGCCAGCAGCCGCGGUAAUACGGAAGAUCCGAGCGUUAUCCGGAUUUAUUGGGUUUAAAGGGAGCGUAGGCGGAAUGCUAAGUCAGUUGUGAAAUACUGCGGCUCAACCGUAGAAUUGCAGUUGAAACUGGCAUUCUUGAGUGUACAUAAGGAUGGUGGAAUUUGUGGUGUAGCGGUGAAAUGCAUAGAUAUCACGAAGAACUCCGAUUGCGAAGGCAGCCAUCUGGGUUACGACUGACGCUGAGGCUCGAAAGUGCGGGUAUCAAACAGGAUUAGAUACCCUGGUAGUCCGCACAGUAAACGAUGGAUACUCGUGGUUGGCGAUAGACAGUCAGUCACCAAGCGAAAGCGUUAAGUAUCCCACCUGGGGAGUACGCCGGCAACGGUGAAACUCAAAGGAAUUGACGGGGGCCCGCACAAGCGGAGGAACAUGUGGUUUAAUUCGAUGAUACGCGAGGAACCUUACCCGGGCUUGAAUUGCAUGGGACAGCGCCAGAGAGGGCGUUUUCUUCGGACCCAUGUGAAGGUGCUGCAUGGUUGUCGUCAGCUCGUGCCGUGAGGUGUCGGCUUAAGUGCCAUAACGAGAACAACCCUUAUCUUCGGUUGCCAUCAGGUGAUGCUGGGCACUCCGGAGACACUGCCAUCGCAAGAUGAGAGGAAGGUGGGGAUGACGUCAAAUCAGCACGGCCCUUACGUCCGGGGCUACACACGUGUUACAAUGGGACAUACAGAGGGCAGCGACAGGGCGAUCUGGAGCAAAUCCCGAAAGUGUCCCCCAGUUCGGACUGGAGUCUGCAACCCGACUCCACGAAGCUGGAUUCGCUAGUAAUCGCGCAUCAGCCAUGGCGCGGUGAAUACGUUCCCGGGCCUUGUACACACCGCCCGUCAAGCCAUGAAAGCCGGGGGUGCCUGAAGUCCGUAACCGCGAGGGGCGGCCUAGGGUAAAACCGGUAAUUGGGGCUAAGUCGUAACAAGGUAACC
rnacentral:rRNA from 1 species